rnacentral:rRNA from 1 species
UUGAACGCUGGCGGCAGGCCUAACACAUGCAAGUCGAGCGCGAAAGUUCUUCGGAAUGAGUAAAGCGGCGGACGGGUGAGUAACGCGUGGGAAUCUGCCUAGUAGUGGGGGACAACAGCCGGAAACGGCUGCUAAUACCGCAUACGCCCUACGGGGGAAAGGGGGGGAUCUUCGGACCUCUCGCUAUUGGAUGAGCCCGCGUCGGAUUAGCUAGUUGGUAGGGUAAAGGCCUACCAAGGCUACGAUCCGUAACUGGUCUGAGAGGAUGUUCAGUCACACUGGAACUGAGACACGGUCCAGACUCCUACGGGAGGCAGCAGUGGGGAAUAUUGGACAAUGGGGGCAACCCUGAUCCAGCCAUGCCGCGUGUGUGAAGAAGGCCUUAGGGUUGUAAAGCACUUUCAGUGGGGAGAAAGGUUUGUCACCUAAUACGUGAUGAAAUUGAUGUUACCCACAGAAGAAGCACCGGCUAACUCCGUGCCAGCCGCCGCGGUAA